rnacentral:rRNA from 1 species
AUGUAAGGUCUGACCUGCCCACUGAUUUUUUUGAAGGGCCGCAGUAAUUUGACUGUGCAAAGGUAGCAUAAUCAUUAGUUUUUUAAUUAAAAGCUUGUAUGAAGGGUUGGACGAGGUAAAAUCUGUCUCUAUUUAAAUUAUUGUAGAAUYUAAUYUUUAAGUUAAAAAGCUUAAAUYUAUUUAAAAGACGAGAAGACCCUAUAGAUCUUUAUAUAAAUUUUAAUAGUUUUAAUUAAGAAUAUUUUAUUUAUUAUUAUUAUUUAUAUUUUAUUGGGGUAAUAAAAAGAUUAAAUUAAUUCUUUUUUUAUUUAAACAUUUAUUUAUGAUUAAAUGAUCCAAUAUUUUUGAUUAAAAGAUUAAGUUACCUUAGGGAUAACAGCGUAAUUUUUUUAGAGAGCUCAUAUCGAUAAAAAAGUUUGCGACCUCGAUGUUGGAUUAAAAAUUAUCUUAGGUGCAGAAGUUUAAGAUUUUGGUCUGUUCGACCAUUAAAUUUUUACAUGAUCUGAGUUCAGACCGGCGUAAGCCAGGUCGGUUUCUAUCUUUAAUUAAUUUUAAUAUUUUAGUACGAAAGGACCAAAUAUUUAAUAUAUUUAUAUUUAAUUUUUUGAAUAUUAUUAAUUACUUUGGCAGAAUAGUGUAAUGAAUUUAGAAUUCAUAAAUGUAAAUUUUUUACAAGUAAUAUUGUUUUAUAUAGAUUUAAUAUUUUCUUUAAUUUGUAUUUUGUUAUUAAUUAUUUGUGUUUUAGUUGGGGUAGCUUUUUUAACUUUAUUAGA